rnacentral:rRNA from 1 species
GGAGGAAAGGAACCAACAGGGAUUGCCCCAGUAACGGCGAGUGAAGCGGCAACAGCUCAAAUUUGAAAUCUGGUCCCCAGGGCCCGAGUUGUAAUUUGCAGAGGAUGCUUUUGGUGAGGUGCCUUCCGAGUUCCCUGGAACGGGACGCCAUAGAGGGUGAGAGCCCCGUCUGGUUGGAUACCGAGCCUCUGUAAAGCUCCUUCGACGAGUCGAGUAGUUUGGGAAUGCUGCUCUAAAUGGGAGGUAUAUGUCUUCUAAAGCUAAAUAUUGGCCAGAGACCGAUAGCGCACAAGUAGAGUGAUCGAAAGAUGAAAAGCACUUUGAAAAGAGGGUUAAAUAGUACGUGAAAUUGUUGAAAGGGAAGCACUUAUGACCAGACUUGGCCCCGGUGAAUCAUCCAGCGGUUCCCGCUGGUGCACUUUGCCGGGGUUCAGGCCAGCAUCAGUUCGCUCCGGGGGAUAAAGGCUUUGGGAAUGUGGCUCCCUCGGGAGUGUUAUAGCCCAUUGCGUAAUACCCUGUGGCGGGCUGAGGUUCGCGC